rnacentral:rRNA from 1 species
CCUCGUACUGACUCUUCGUAUAGGUGUUAAUUUUGGGAGGGAUCAUU